GAGGGCAUAGCUCAGUGGUAGAGCCCCUGCCCAGCAUGCACAAGGUCCUGGGUUCAAUCCCCAGCACCUCCA
rnacentral:tRNA from 1 species